CUAACAAAUAUAAGAAAAUUAUCUCAAUAGAUACUAAAGCAGAUCAGUGUUUUAGACUUUGCUCCAUAUCAGUAUAUUAAAGUUCAUAUAACUUUGACUUUUCUAAUUACAGCAAAUUUAAUCACAAACACAAACUUCUUGAUUUAUCUUUCACAAACCUUCUGCAACUAAUUAAACAUUCACAACUUUACAUCCUGAGUUUUGUCCUCUUUCAUCUUGGACUUCAGCCCGAGAAUAUUACAUUACCAUAUAAAAUAUUUUCUCAUCCAGAAACAUUUGUUUUCCUUUCCAGUUUUCCAUACUAAAAUUUAUUUCAAUAUGUAUGACUUUGUUUUAUUUUUUUCUAGUUUUGAACCCUUUCUUAAAUUAACAUUCUGAAACAGUCCUUAUGAAUGUUAUCUGUGCAUUUAAUUUACACAACAAAUUUCAUCCCAGGAAACAGUUGGACAAUCCAGCAUAUACAAAACUGUGCCUUAAUCUUUUUUCUCCCAGGUUUCAUUUAAGGGGUUGGAGCACAGGACAUUUUUGAACCUGACCUGUCUCAGUUAUCAUUAUCACAAUGCCAUCGUCUUUGAGUGAGUUCCCCACUGUCGGUUAUAUCCAGAGGCUCCUUUUGGGCCUUUUCCUUAUACUAGGUUAUUGAUACGAAAUGGGGGAAGCCCUUUCCAUACUUUUCUUUAGAUUUUCUUGAGAUCCCUUUGAAGAGGCAGGUGCACUUAUUUAUUCUGCCAGUGUCCCCAGGCAUUUAGUUUGAUGGAAU
rnacentral:lncRNA from 1 species